rnacentral:lncRNA from 1 species
UGGCUGUGCCAAUCGACUUUGGAUUCUUUGUUACAGUUUUUUUUUUAUUUUAUUUAUUUAUUUUUUAAAUUUUUUAUAAUUAAAUUUUGAUUUUAAUUAAUACAAAAGUUAUUUUUAUGCUCUUUAAAUUUUUAUUCUUUACUUUUAUUGUAAGUAGAAGUUAAGAUCUAGAUAGUAGAUUUUAGUACCAAGUUCUUUUCUUAC